rnacentral:rRNA from 1 species
UGGGGAAUAUUGGACAAUGGGCGAAAGCCUGAUCCAGCCAUGCCGCGUGUGUGAAGAAGGUCUUCGGAUUGUAAAGCACUUUAAGUUGGGAGGAAGGGCAUUAACCUAAUACGUUAGUGUUUUGACGUUACCGACAGAAUAAGCACCGGCUAACUCUGUGCCAGCAGCCGCGGUAAUACAGAGGGUGCAAGCGUUAAUCGGAAUUACUGGGCGUAAAGCGCGCUUAGGUGGUUUGUUAAGUUGGAUGUGAAAGCCCCGGGCUCAACCUGGGAACUGCAUCCAAAACUGGCAAGCUAGAGUACGGUAGAGGGUGGUGGAAUUUCCUGUGUAGCGGUGAAAUGCGUAGAUAUAGGAAGGAACACCAGUGGCGAAGGCGACCACCUGGACUGAUACUGACACUGAGGUGCGAAAGCGUGGGGAGCAAACA